rnacentral:misc_RNA from 1 species
AAGUCGUAACAAGGUUUCCGUAGGUGAACCUGCGGAAGGAUCAUUAGUAGUUGAGGGAGAGUGAAGGCGCAAGCCUGAACUUGACCGAGCGAGGGCGUCAGCCUGAGCAGAGGGUGGAGGGUGGAGGAGUGGUAGUGCAGUGAUGUAGUAUCACUCCCUCCCACGCACACCCAGUCACGGGCGCUCGCAGGAGUGCCUUGUAACAAGCAAUUUACAUCUAAAUCAUACAAGCAAAACUUUUAACAAUGGAUCUCUGGGCUCCU